UUUUGAAACUUGAAAACUUGCAUCUGUCCUAAAUUUGAAUUCCACAGGGAAGUGAAAACCAGAAAAGAUUAUGGAAAAAAUGUCUUUUAUCUAAAUUUCCAGAAUUUUAGAUGUUGCAGCAUUAAUUACCAUCAAACUUUGUUAAUUUCCUUAUCUUUUGGGUCUGGAAUAAGGAUGAAGAAACGCAGCCAGAGAAUAGGGCAGUAGCCUUGUUUCCAGCCACUCAAAG
rnacentral:lncRNA from 1 species